UGGUAGAAGCAAAUCCGUGCGCGCCAAAAUAAAUAAUCUGACGACGGAAGAAAGGAUCUAUCUUAUCGAGUGCUUCUUUUCCAGAGGAAAAGUGUAUAGCUUAUAGGGGGUUUCGUACGUAAAUAUGGAACAUAAAGUAUAAGAGCGAAAACACACUGGAAAGUAUGGAACUCUCCAAGACCGUAGACAUGAUAUGCCAGCCAGGUCCUUCAGUAAGUCUGUAGCUGUAGAAGGAAAUAUUGAAGAUAUUAAAAAUUAUUUCGAAGAGAAUCCAAAUACUUCGAUUCGGAAAGCUGCUCAAGCCGUUGAAAUAUCAAAAACAAUGUUACACAGGAUUUUAAAACAUUUCCUGAAAAUGCGUCCGUAUAAAAUAACAUCUCAUCAAUCGCUAACCGAACGCGCUAUGACGAAACGUGUGGAAUUUUG